UUCUGUUUCUUUCUGAGUAAAUAGUUUUUACCUCAACUAACAAGUUCUACUUUUUUUUUUUUUCCCCUUUAUCUUCUCCACCAUCCCUCUGGGAAGAGUGGAGUGAAAGGCUGUGUGGUGCUGAGCUGUUUGCCAGGUGAAAUCACAGCACAAAGGCUACCUCAUGAGAAUCACCUUAUGCUGCACUUCCCAGAGAGUUCCUUAGGACACCAGAACUGAAGUCAACGGGAAUUUUGGAGGUGUGAAGAGCUACUCAGAAGAAGCAAGGAUUUUCCAGCAAAAAAAUUGCCAUUCUUCUUGGAGAGUUUGGGUCAUGGCUCACUGUGAACUAGAACAGCAAAACAGAAAACUAGAUGGUAAGUGCAUCUGUAACAAUGUUUUGCAUAAAACACAUUUUAUAUUGGGAGAACAGGAGUUCUUCCAAUGUAGAACAUAUUCUCCUAUAAAACAGAAAUGAAUAAAUAUAUUUGCAUAUGGAGCUAGAAAAAAUGUGGAGAGAAAAAAAUAGAUUUGUUUCACUUUCAAUAUAGCAGAAUUCCAUUUUUUAGAAUGAGUGUAGAGUGUUGUGAGGUUGUACUCAGUCAACUGCCUUCAAUAGAAAACACUUAUGAAGAAGGCAAUGGGUUUGAUUGUAUUUGAAAAAGGAUGUGUGCAGCAUAUUCCUGUGUUAUUCAUAAUAUUAGUGCUUUUAACAGAUGGGAACUUUUAGUGAGUCCUAAAAUAAUUACAAGAUAAAACCUUCAUAUUUCUGUAUGAAUAUUUGGAUGAUUAUCAUUGAAAAUGCAGUCAAAAGAAAUAUAUCCAUUAUGAAUUUCAGUACAAAGAAGAAGAGAAUAAAUAUAACAAAAUUUCAAGUACUAGAACCUGCAUUUUUGGUUGGGGAGGAGGGAGAAAUUUGGGAGGGUGGAAAUGAUCACAUUCGUUACUUAAAUAUUUAUUUGGAUGUGUACCUCAUAGAAUCAUAAAAUUAUAGAAUUGCCAAGGUUGAAAAAAACCUCCAAGAUUAUCCAGUCCAACCACCCACCUACAAGAAAUAUUUCCCCACUAAACCAUGUCCCUCAGUACAACAUCUGAGCAUUUCUUGAACACCUCCAGGGACGGUGACUCUGCCACCUCCCUGGGCAGCCUGUUCCACCACUGGCCACUCUUUUGGAGAAUAAGUUUUUACUAGGGACACCUUGGUACACUAUGGUGCUCACAGCAUGUCUUAAAAUCGGUAGAUACAUGAGCAGGGAUUUGACUUUAGCAAGUUCAGGGAUUUGACUUUAGGUGAGGUCAUUUUAGACAUUCAGUGAUACAAGGUAGCAGAAAUAUUUGAGAAUGAGUAUUAAGAUUUUAUAUAUUUUAUAUAUUAAUAUUUUUAUAUUAAGAGUUUAUGUUCUCACCUUCUAUCUCCUACUACAUACUUGAGUGUUGCAGAGAAUACAAACUGCUUUUGGUUAUUCAUACGUAUUCUAGAUACUCUACAAAACCGUAUUUAAAAAUAUCUAUGCAAGGUUCUAGGUGAUACAUGCAUCACACUUACACACUUCUCUCAAAGACUGUACAUUGUAUCUUCACAGGAACUCAGUUCUCUAAGACACAUUACCUGGUAAAGCUCACCAAACUCUUAGUUUAACUUGGGGUCAAAAUGUGAUUAGGUAUAUUUUUCAUCAAAGAGCGAUAUUUUACAUUUUAUAUUUUAUCUUCACAGGUAAUCAGUUCCUAAACACACACUACCCAGUAAAGCUCACCAAACUCUUAGUUUAAUUUGGGGCCAAAAUCUGACAUUGGCACUUAGGUCACAUUUCACCAAUUUCAAAAGGAAACCCGGCAAGUGGAACUAGAUUUCUAAACUUUCUUUUCAUCCCUACCCAAAAUGUAGGCACAGUUUUGUUCUGUGUAAUUGUAGACAUAAAAUAUGUCAGUUAGCUCCCUGACUAUUCAAUUGUGAGGCCCAAAUAUGAUAAUGUCUGUCUGAUAGUGUUAACAUCUAUACUUGAUAAUGUGUGAAAAAUUAAUGCUGAAUUUAUUUGGGCACAAAAUAAUAUAUGGUUCAAAAUUGCCUUUAGUGACUUGUCUGAAUCACUUGGAUGGUAUCUGUAUGCCAUUCUUUUCUUCUUCCAGCUCUUCACACAAUUUAUCUUUUCUUUUUGAAUUUCAUCAGGAACAUCUUUGGAAUCUCUUCCCACCCAUUCAAAUGCUAGUUAACAGAGAGAGAAUGCAAAAUUUAGUUUUGUAAGUAUCUUAAUAUUCUCCCCCUUUUCUCUUUUUCAUUUCUGCAGAUAUGUGCAGGUUUAUGUUGGUUUUUCUCUUGUUAAAAUACCAUUUCCAGAGCAAAAAAAAACCCCACACACAUUAAAUUCCCUACCUGUACUAAACUAGUAGCCUUCAAGAGAAAAAUGUGUUUUGAUAAAUAACAGUAAUACAAGAAUAGCAGAAUAAUUAAAUGAGAAUAAUACAUUAGUAUUUAUAUACUUAUCUUACAAACUGUGCAGAAAAAUUAUGUUUCUUAAAUCUCAGGAGAUCAGGAAUAUACGAUUAAAGGAAUAAUUCUUCUCUAUUUGCUACACCAUCUAUUUGCAGCUGUAAUAAUUUGUACAGAGUAUAUAAAGGUCUUUUUUACAUCUACCAGGCUAUUUUCAGUUCAGAAUACUUAAACGGUAGCAUUACUAAUGCAAAAACUCGCUUUGCAUUAUUUGAUAAACAUUUGUGAUCUUAAGAUGUACUUUCUGCUUUCUACUUUUGAUGCAAUGACUUCAAGAUUAAAAGCAUAUAGAUAUUAUGACUUUAGCAUGCAUAUUUCUUACAUAGGAUAGUCUAAAACAAAGCAUGCCUUUUGUGGUCAACAUUUAACAACUCCCUGAAAUGUUUCUUAUAUAAACAAUAAACAAAUAGAGAUUGUACAUAUGUAUAAUGGCAUGUCCCUAUCAGUGCUAAGAGAGAAAUACUUUCUCACACUAAUGUAUUACUGGGGUCCCUACAGCAGCCUAGGUAGAAGACACAGGUGAAAAACUAGUUUAAGUGUUUGGAGCUUAAAAACUAGUCUCUUAACUUUCAUUAACUUCUCUAGUCUCCUGUAUGGUAACUGUUGAGUCACGACCUGAACCACUGAUUGAGCACCUGGGGAAAGGACCUGGUCAGCCCUGAGAGCACAGGUGAAGGCAAAGGCAAAGGAGUGGAGCUUGGCUGCUCUUCUCUUAGACCUCAUUUAACAGCUGACUGCCACUAAGGAAGGAUCUCUUUCUGGAGGUUCCUCCUUUGCGUUUUCUCCUGGGAACCUGGAUCUUUGGAGAUGGGUGAGCAGUCCUUUCUCCUUUCUUUAUAACGCCUUUCUGUAGCCUUGGUCCCUCUGUCAUCGCACCUCUUGUAUCACCUUUCCAUUGUGUUGGUUUUUCUGACUGUUACAUCUGCUAGCAAAGUAGUUGAGCCUUACUGACUUUACACUGCCUGAAUUAAGUCACUUGUAACAUUUCAGAUCAGGUGAGAAAGGCAGCUUCUGACAGGAAAAAUCUUGGGAAUUCAUGAGACUCAACUAGUUUCAGAAUCUAAAUUUACACCAUGACCAGUCUCAGUGCUGAGCAAGUCAAGAUUUUGGAAUAUUUCCAGAGUAUCUGCAUAUGGGCAUACAGUUAUGUGCAGUCAGGUUUUGACAACACUAGGUUGAUAGUUAAGUUUCUGUAAUCGUUGAGUGUUAUUGACUAUAAGUUGCCUCAUUUUACCUCAUGGUAAAAUAUACUACUACAUGCCUUAGCUAAACAGUUUUAGGAGGUCCAUUUUUCACCUGGGACAUGCCAGGAGUACACGGGCAUGGGCUAAGCUGAUGAACACUAAUAACUCAAAACCAUUGCCAUUAUAACUCAGAAAUGUUAAAUACUGUUUGCACCUUUUUUUUGAUCUUGCAACACCAAAGCAUUAUUCAGAUUGAUUCUCUCAGCCUCAGCUUAUCUCCACCUCUAGCUUCCUCUUUUUCAAGCUCAGAAACUGUUAAAAAAAAAAAAAAAAAACAAUGUGAAGAAACACAUUUUCUCAGAGGGAGGCACAUGAAGCAAAGAAGGCUUUAAUCACUACUGCUUUGCCUUUUUCAGAUGGGAGUUAUUUCAUUUAUACAUGCCCAUAGAGGUGAAUGUUGCUGUGGGUGAUGUAACGUGUGAGCCCUGAUUAUGGCUCUCCACCCACCGACUGUACAGCAGCACUCACCUUGUUCUUAGCUAUUCUUAUGCUACAGGGGGCUCUCUACCUUUGUAAGUUGAUUUAAAAAAAGAUUAUGGAAGGAGAACAAAGAGUCUUGAGAAAAUCUCUUCUUGCUUUCUUGUGUUUCAAAGAUACACAAUUUGUCUUGGAAAUAAAAUGUAAGUGUCACUACUCCUUGUAGUGCUUCUCCCCUUUUUCCCUGAAGAGGGGAAGUAGUAGAAACUAAAACUAUAUAAUCUUGACUGUAGUUUAAAAUAGCUAGUAUAAUUAGUCCAAACUAUCACUGCAAGAAAGCACAUACAUCAGUGAAAUAACAUCUGCCAUUCAGUGCCUAAGCUUAAACAUGAUCUGUGCAUCAAAAAACUCUUCAAGUAAUUUCAGCGCAGUUUAAUAUCACUAACACUGAAGUAUGCAAACAAAAGCAGACUAGUUCCAAAACAACAGCAGCAAUAAUAUUCCUACUGUUGUUACUUAGUAUCUAUGGACUUUGUACAGAUUUUUUAGAAAUCAAGCCUCUUGUAGACCCAACAUCAGUAAGACUCAUACUAUGGUUUAAUGUUAUACAUACUGUACAUUACAUCAGUUUAAUUUCACAUGUACUAAAAACACUGUGUGAAGAUUGAGAUUUUGCUGUAUUUUUAGGAUGAUUUUAAUAUUUGCUGCUCGCAGAACUAUUAAUUAAUUUUAAAAGCAUUUCAACUUGGACAUCUGAAAACUGAGUUACCAUGCAAACUAUGUCAUAUCAUGGCACUUUAAAGCAGCAGUGCAAUGUCUGAGACCCCAGGUGCUCCAGCCUCAUUUCACAGUGAUAAGGUACAUGGAACAGUGGCCACCCUUUGUUUUAUGCUUUCACGUUACCAUGGUGGAAUCUAGAGGUGCUACAGCAGCAUGGUCUGCCAGGCAGACUGUGGUAACUUUAUUGCUUUCUUGCCAACAAAUACUGCAUGCUGAUAUCCUUCAGGUCAUUUGAGAAUGGAACAAGUUAAAAUAUGACCUCUUCAUGCUUCCAGUCCUUUCCUGGGUUGUUUUGGUGUAGCUGUAGAACGUUACAAAUUGGGGACCGCGGUUUUGUGACACAAGGAAAAGAGAAUUAGUUCUUCUGCUUAAUUUUAUUUUAAGGGAAGGUGGGAGAAGUAUCGAUCAGAUUACUGCCACUGACAAAAGGCAGAAGGCCAGUCACCUCAUGGGUGUGUAUAACUAUGGGGGAUUCGCUUGCAACCCUCUAUGGAUACCUGCAUCCUCUGCUCCCUUUUCUUCUCUGAAGCACUUGUAUACCAAUGCACACAGCAUGAGGAAUGAACAGGAGGAGCUAGAGAUCUGUGUGCAAUUACAAGGCCAUAACCUCAAAUCCGUCUUGUCUAUGCAACGUUUGUAGUGGUGCUUGGCACAUACUGGCCCCUAGACUGGACCUGAGGAUUGUACCAUGUUUAUUUAGCUAUGUCACUGUAGUCACAGGAAUUGUGCUGAGUUGUUGCUCCAUUAGCAUAGUCUACUUCCAGAACUGCAAAACCUAUCUUAGCACCUCCCGGACCUCUUUUUCUACAGAGAAGUCACACAGGGGUUAGUGCACUAAGGGGCUUAUGCCUAUGGUGCACUAGCUCCUGGUGGGUCUGUGUUCCACUGUAUUUGCCACUGGCUGGCUGCUAGUCUGCAGCUGCUUUGGAUAGUUCUUAAUUUAUAAUACCAUUCAAUGAUACCGUCCACAUAAAAUCCACAUCACUUAAGUAAUACAUAUUUGGAAUAAUUGCCUUUUUCUCAAAAGGGCUAUUUCCCUAGGGCUGUGUUAUCUCAGUGAAGCAGCAUGUUUCAUGCCUAAACUCUACUGUUUCAGUGCAAUUGUAGUACCAUCUUUAAAUGUAGUUUCCAAAUCUACGUGCUCAUCAGGCCUAUCCUGGCACAAAGCUUUACUAUGAGUCAGCUCCUCUGCUCUCCAGUAGUUACCUGUAUUCACUCACAGUCUUCUUCUGUCUUAUCAAGAGAAGUUGCUUUUACUGCCCUUCUGCCUCUUGUACUCUCUGCUGCUGAUUACUUUAAAAAAGGUGUACUUCAUACUUCCUGUCAACAUCAAUAACACAUUUUUGAACAAGACAUUCAAUUCAACCAGAACAGAGAUUGUAUAAAUUCCUGUGACCUUUCAAUGCUUCAGUAAAAUUAAACAUCAAUAAUAGAUGUUUUGUGAUUCUGAUGAGAUGACACAUUUCUGAUUCAGCAAUAUUCAAAGAUUUUCUGUACUGGGAUAAGGACUGUCAGCUCCUGACAUUCCCACUGGUCAGUGGGAAUUACUGAAGCAGUCUCAUACCAGGUUCUGCCAAUGAGUUUUGCUUUAUGGCAUCUGACAUCUGCAGGAGUGCUAACAAAACCUAUAUUUCUCAAACAUAAACAUUUACAGGAUCUCUGCUUUUAGAAGGUAUGUUUAAGUUGUCAUGACAUCCAAAGAACUAGUAGUUUGCCAGAUUUGGUUAUUCUCAUUUUAUUUUUCUCAUAAGGAUAUUUAUAUUCUCAAAUCUCAAUUUUAAUGUCAGGGAACAAAGAGAAAAAACAGGGAAUUCCCUUCUGAGUACACCUGAAUUUCUAAUAGCAGAAUCUUGGUAGUUUUUCACACUCACUGUACCUCCAACUGGCUCAAGAACUUCGAAUGCCUCCAUAUGGUGGAAAAAAUUACACCCCAGCUGUGCUCUUGUGUUCAAAUUUCUGUUAAAACUCAAAAUGUGAGGCUCAUGCCACCCUAUUAUCAAAGCUCAAAAGGCAAACACUCCUUCCCAUGCUAUUUAAAAUAAUACCAGAAUUUAAGUGUGAUUGAUUUAGAACUCUUUUGUAAAUCAGUGAUCUAUGUUAAAGAACUGGUUUUCUGUUGAUUCUGGGUUUGAGCAAAAUCAAGAUUAAAAAAGAUAUGAUAAAAUACUUUACAAUUUACCAUAAUUUAGGAAUAUUUUAACAAGAUCUUUACUGUGCAGUUAUUCCCUAUUAUUCUGUAUUCUAGACCUUAUAUUCAUUUGUACACUAAAGGAACGAUGUAUUCAGAAUUGUUGAUGUUUUAAAGUAUUAGUUCUUUGCUUACAUUCUUGCUAGUUGUUUGGGAUUCCUACUGUUGUUUAUUGGUAGGAAUUUCAUUUUAUCUCAUGCUUUAUUUUUGCUGUUUUCUUUUCCAAAAUGAUCUUAGAGACAAAGCCUGUUAUAUUGCUGUUCAUGUCUGUAACAGUUAAGUAAAUAUAUAUAGUAACCACAUGAUGGAGAGAAUUGUCUUUGUCUUAAGCAUUUGAAACUGUCUGUAAAUGACAUACAUUUUAAAAGAUGAAGGUGACCUGCUGUAUUGCUUACUUCCAGGAAACAAAAGUUUCGGGUAAUUUUUUUUCAUUUUCAGUGGGCAUCUUCUCUUUGUUUUCAUAGUGAAAGUUAAAUGAAGCUAGUAAACAGAGUUUUGAGAAUUUCUCAAACCAGAAAAACAUUCUUUAGCUAUCUUUGAGUCAAAGGCUUGAGAGUAACCAAAAAAUGAGAUGCAGACAUUAUUAGGCAGAUUAUAAUUAGGCUCGCAUGAAUGCAGAAGGAGAGUUAUCUGUUUGAUCCCAUGCAUCCUCUCUGCAGCUGUAUAAAGGAUGGUUACUAUCUCUGUCCCUGCACUCCUAAAGUGGGAAAGAGACUAUGGCCAGCAGUGUUUCCUGCCCAAAUAGAUGGAGUGGACUACAACUCUGUCCUAAUUAAGGCCAGCUGUCACAUUCUACCUGUCACAUGCUCCUAUUUUUUUGAAGUGUGUGGGAGUUGCCAGUUCACCCUUCCCGGAUACACAGAGCAUAUAUGACAUCCCUCAUUGAUGGUCUGUGCCUAAGCUGGAGAACACUGUGCAUUAAAUUCCCAGCAAAUACAUCAGUUUUUCACCAGCCAGUGUCAUAGCUUACUGAACAAGCUUUUAGUAAAGAUACUUAUUUUCAGGCUUGUAUUAAUGCCCACUGAACAAAGUCAAUAGAAAUCAUUGCAUCUCUAGAAGUACCACUCAUUGCAAUAGUAUCAUAAAAAUGAAUCAUCUGCAAGCUGCCUGCGCUUACAGCUGUCUUGCUUAAGUUAUUGGAUGGCACGUUGCCUGCUCAUGUGGUGUUUAGACAUAGUAGAGGGAAUAGGUGUCAGAAAAGAUGAUUUUACUGGGGUAAUUUAAAUAGAACAACAACUGUUAGCUUGUUAGCAAUAAUUUCCCUUUUGGUGACUGAACAAGAAAGUGUUAUUCCCCCAUGAAGCUUUCCAGCCUGCUGGCACGUUCUCCCUGCUCCAGCAUCAGGAAGUUGCAGUGAGUCAGGCUCCAAAAUCGUUCAUGGCUGAGGGCUAUUCUUGCCAGGGAUACCAGCACAUCAAGGAGACAUUUUUCAUCUUACUCAAAGUGUAGUUCUUGCUUGGAUAUCAAAGACCAGGAAAGUACAGAAUAGGAGAUAUUUCCUAGCCAGUGGUGUGUCGUCAUUUCUUCCUUUGUCUCUUUCUGGAUCUAAUUCUCUUUUCAACUGGACUAAGUGUUGUGAAUUUUUUUUUAAACUUCUUGCAUCUUUUGUAAAAACCUCCUCAAAGAAGAUUUCUGAAAAAAAGCAAGCAAAGCCAUGGCCUCUCUUUUUCAGUACUCUGAAUUUUUAUGGAGGAGACACUGACUCCUUUCUCUCAGGUGGGUCAAUUAAUCGCAGGAAUUUGAGUUUAAUUAGCCUCCUCUGCCUGAUUAUUUUUUUUACUUUCCAAAAAAGUUAUAAGUGUAAUUGAAAACAUGAAAAUAAACAGCUCUCACUCAGUUUCUUAUUGUAAUGCAACACAGAACAAACCACUUCUCUACUCCCACUCAAUAUUCAAAGAACAGAGCAUCUCAGAGCACCUGCCACCUUGCAGUAUAGUGCCAUAUGUGAUUAUCCAACAGAUUUAUGUAGAGAUAUUAAAAGCAAACUUAAUGGAGAGAAGAAUGUUUCCUCCUACUGUGGGUUCUGCUUAGCUACCAAAUAAAUGUAUUUGGGUAUAUCCAUGUCCCUUUUGUUGUCUUGUUUAAACUCAAGAUGAAAAAAAACAAGUUAUGUCAGAAAAAGUAAGACAGCAACAUGGAUAAAGAUACUUCAGCACAGAUAUGGAACACUGCAGUGCGUUACUGAUGUUUGAUUUGCCUUCAAAAUCUGAUCAUAUAUAUCCUGAAAUUAUCAUUUAAGGACAUUAAGUAUACCCUGGUUUCAAAAACAAAAAUGUGGAUUUUUGUUCUCUGUAUCUCAGUAAGUAUGAUAAAAUAUUUUCUAGCCAAUUGAAAUGGAAACUAAUUAGCUAAUUUAUCCUUAAAAUAUUUGGGUAUUGAAUUUUAUGGUCAAACCUCAUCAAAUCAAUUUAAAUAAACUAUAAAAAGAUCUCUGGAAGGAUGGUGGAGUGUAUUUGUUUCCCAAACUGCAGGAGUAAAUGUUACCAAAGAUGUGUAUUUUAAGAACAGACUUCACUCUAGUCAGCUGACAGCACUAUAAUGUGUAGAGAAUGUUUCUAUGAACUGAAGGAAAAUCAGUGCCUUUUUCCUCUGAGUCACUUGAUUCCUUGUUGUCAUGUUGGAGGAAAAAAAAGCCUGAUAUGUUUUAUGAACAGCGGCUGUGAUCAAAACUCACCUCUAGGAGAAUUCAUUAAAGAUUUUCCUCAUAUUUAUUCUAAAGAAAAUUCAAGUAAUAAUCAUGUUAUACAUAGGGGAGAUAAUAAGAAUGAAUAAUCUUAAUAUCUAUCAUGCAUUAGCAUACAAACAAUAGACAUCUAAUAUUUUUAGCUGCUUUCUUUAUUCUUUCUCCUUUCUGUGUAUGUGACAUGUCACUGUUGAGUUUUUUGCAUAUCAGCUGACUUUAAGGACUAGCUAAAUACUUGUAUAAUAAAUCAGAACUAUUUCAGUAGCUCUGGAAGCUAGGUGUGUCAUCCAACUGCCCAACCAACUGAAGCCUUGAUGAAAUCCUUGGAGUGUAGUUGUAUAACCCAUAGAAAACUAAUUACUUCAAGUCACUUAAAAAUAAAAGAUAGGUACAGCCUCUGCUGCAGUCCCAAAUCUACAGUAAUCUACCAAUGGGAACUAGUGUUAACAGGAACUUGAGUUAAUUGAUUGAAAUGAAUAAGAUUCAAUGUGCAUCUUGAAAUUUUAGAAUAAUUCUACAGCACUAUUCAUUUUGGUGACAGAGAAUACCUUCACUGAUGAGUUCAUGGCUGCUAAUAAAUAGAUUUUAAUUCAACUACAGUUAUUGAGUAGAUUACCUGGAAUACUGUAUCCAGUUAUAGGCUUCCUGGUACACAAAAACCAAGGAUAUCCUGGGAAGAGUCCAGCAGAGGGCCACGAAGAUGAUAAAGGGCCUGGAGCAUCUCCCUUUGAGGAAAGGCUGAGCAAACUGGGCUGUUCAGCCUUGUGAUAAGAAGACUGAGAGGUGAUCUUAUUACUAUUUAUAAUAUUUAUAUUUAAUAUAUAUUUAAUAUUUAUAUUACUAUUAAGUGUGGGAGCCAAAGAGACAUGGCCAACCCCUUUUCAGUGGUCUGUGGGGACAGGACAAGGGGAAAUGGUCAUAAGCUUGGGCAUAAGAAGUUCCACAUCAACAUGCGUAAGAACUUCUUCACAGUGAGGGUGAUGGAGCACUGGAACAGUCUGCCCAGGGACACUGUGGAUUCUCCUUCUCUAGAGAUAUUCAAGAUCUGCCUGCAUGCCUACCUGUGCAGCCUGCUGUAAGGGGGCCUGCUUUGCUGUGGGAUUUGGACUUGAUUAUCUCUGGAGGUCCCUUCCAACCCAUAUAAUUCUGUGAUUCUUCCACUUCCAAAUUUAAACAGCUUGAGUUCCAAGCACAAAGGAAGAUCUUUUCAAAUAGACUGUGAGAAGUGUCAGAUGAUCAGCUCUAUGGAUUCCAUAGGAAUAAGGAAAUAUAGCGAGUCCUUAAGAGGAUGGAGAAAUAUGGUGGCUCCUUACCGGCAAAGAGAACAGUGCUUCUGAUUUUCAUGACAUUUUAAUGAACUGUUUUCACUACGCUUGACAUUUGUCCAGGUGCCCCUUCCAUAAGAAGAUAUGAGCAAGAGGCUUGCAGGACAAUAACAACUACCAAAAUGGAAAUCUAUAAGCUACAUCAUAGCUGAAUUGUGCAACACGAAUCCAGUCUUGCAUAUUAUGGAGGAGGUGAGAAAGGCAGCGCUCUUUCUUCAAUCUCACACUUUCUCUUCCUGCUAGCAGGAAGCUCCCAAAUAGUUUUCUCACAAAAAGACAUCCAACUCUCUCCAACUAGUUUCUGUUUUUUUCAGAUAAAUGAGGGAAGUAGGAGGAAAGAAUCUAUCAUUGUCCUACAUGCAUCAUAAUUUUUUCAGCAGAACUAUUUUACUUCAUAAAAUGGUGCUUCUUCAGGUAAAAAAACAAACAAACAAACAUUUGUGGAAAUACACCAGUCUACAACAAGAAAUCUGCCAGGAUCCCCAGGAAGAAAAGAGCGUUUAGAGAGAUGAAUUUCAGAGGAGGAGAAUUAACAUCCCAGGAGUGAUGGUUUAUGUAUUGAAAUGCUUAGUGCUACACUGUGUACCAGCUGCAAGUGGCCUAAUGCCAGCCCUGGAUGUAGAGCAGCUUCAAGUGUGGCAUUUGCACUACUGGCUCAGGCACCUAUGCUUUCCAUGUACUGAACACAGAGAGCUGGGGAUGCUGAAGAGUUGGGAAAGUGCAUAAUUCAAGCCUCCAAAGAUACUGGGUGAAGCAUGUUCCUGAAGGAAUACAUUUCUACAAGACAUUUAUCUAGCUGAACUGUUUUGGAUUUCUUCCCCUAAUGUUAAAAUGCUCAAAAUGCUAUUUUGCCUAACCAAUUGCACCUCCAUGAGGAUUCAAGAAGAGUACAUGUACCUGCCUUGCUUGUGUUAGAUAAAAUCUAACACAAAAUCAAUUCCAGAUGACUAGUCAGAUCUUCACCAAAAUAAAAUUACAUCUACCAUGCCAAAGCUAAGUGAGGAAAGAGUGAGGUAGGUAAAAACCAACCAACCAACCACAAAAAAAAAUGAGAUACAUAAGAUCUCAGUAGUGUAAGGACUAUUCAUUUAAAUCUCUGCUCCAGUUGGUGGGAAGCUACGCUCCUGAGGAAGGUGAGAAGUUAAUGUUCCUGCAUGCUCAUGUAUGUCCCCUUGGGUUCCUUCAGCCCACUCCCCCAAGCUGCUGUUUCUCCCUCACACCUGAUGCAUGGUAAGGAGGAGGUAAUGCACAUAGGAAGGGUUUGGUGAACAGUGGCUAGUGCCUGUGUCACGGGGCAAAUACACUCCUCAGUCCUCCCCUGUCCACUCCAAUUAUUGGAGCAAUUGUUUUCACAUAUAUAAACCUGGAGGAAGACUUAGGCAGCAAAAGAGGCCAAAUGUUGUCCAAUUGAUUUAUUACAAGUUCUAAGCAGCUAAGGAACGCAGGGAAGAUGGGGAAGUUAGAGAUAGUAAAGAGAGAAAUCCUAGCAAAUGGUUUACAAAGCAGGGAUAGUCACCACCAGAGAUCCAGUGAAGUCUCAGUCUGUUGACCCACACAGCUGCAGUCUGUUAGAGGGUGUACUUGCUCUACUUCAGAACUUUUCUGUUUUUUAUCCUUUUCAUAGUGUCACUUUGGUUGCCAGGGGCACUUCUUUUUUUCUUUUUAGUUUACCACAGCUUGCUUUAGAUGUCAGGAAGCACUUAUGUUUUGUUUGUCAGAGGAAACAGCACAUGCCCCUCCCAAUUACCUUCCAGGGUAAUUGGUAGUUGAUCUGUCACAUGGGGGGCUGCUAGGUAAGUACAUUGACUGUAUGGUGAUCCUCUCCUCUGAGAUGACUUCCUUUAGCCGGCUUGAAUGCCCCAAAGGAGCAACAGCCAAAAAUGGUUUCCUCUGAUUGCCCAGUCGCAUAUGUUUCUCUUACUGCUGAGCUCACAAUAAUCAUUAACCCCAAAAGCUUGUUGAGCAGGUUAUGCCUUGGAUGGGUGCUGCUGAAUAAGCUUUGAGCCAAAAAUUGUUCCAGCUUCUCACAUCCCCACAGUUAGUUUGCCCACAGCACAGGACAACUGUUGUUCUCCUAUUCAUGCACCCAAACUUCUCUAGACAGCUAACAGAGUGGCCCAUGUCUUAUGCUAGACUAGAGUUAGAUGGUGGCUGAGGGCACUUUUCAAGGAACCAAGACAGCAGCAUGCCGAAUACCUGCCUGGCCAGACAGUCACAACCACUCAUAACGUCUGUUCAAAUGUGAACAGGAAAUUCUUGCUCUGAAGCUGGCUUUAUGAAUUGGACCCCAUGCUCUGAAGUGUGGAGGAAGGUGAAUGCAUUAGGAAUUUGUGGCCACUUCUGUCUGCAGUUUCUAUAUCAGUAGGUUGGCAUUACUAAUACAGUGGCUUUACUGGUAUAUAGACUUCCAGUCACAUUUACAAAAUGCAUAAGAGGCGCAAUUAAAUCCUUGCAUUCUUGAAACACUUCUGAUCUUUUUCAUGUAGCCUCUCUCUCUCCUGACUUCAAUAAAAAAAAAAAGUGGGAGUAAAAAAAAAAUAGAACAACAAGGUCUGGAGAAUCUCAUAAGUAUACAGAGUAUCAUUAGUAGGUGGUGAUAUAAAAAAAUACAAGAAAUGUUCCUCUCCGUUACUGUAUAUAGAUAUGCCUGGUUGGUCAAAGCCUGCUACUACAAACACCCAGAAUAUAAUUGCAUAUGAUGUUGCUGAACAUCAUUAACCUGAUUGUUCCAGUAAUCUGAUUAGUAACUGCCUUCGAACUCUGUUUUCAUGAAAUUUUUCUUACCAUCUCAAGAAUUAAUUUAUCCAUUGCUGGCUCUUGCAAUCACUUGCUUAUCCCAGCUAAGGCCCAGCUGUGUUGUCUGAGCUCCUUGAGCUCUUCUCUGUAUGUCAGUCAUAUGUUACUCUGCAUUGUGAGCUGUCAUUCAUUUUAAACACAGCCAUGUGGAUGGCUUGGGUCAUGUUCUCCUCUCCUCCCCUACCAGGCUCCUGGGAAAUUUCCACAUUCCAUUUGUAAUUUUCAGGAAUCACUGUCCUGUUUCUCUCUUUCACCUUAUUAGAUAGGAGAACUUACAACAAUGUCCCAUCUUAAGAAAGAUGUGUAAACUCAGCUCACCAAGUAAUGUCACCAGUAUCUCAGGCAAGUAUCAGAACUACUCUAUUAAAAAACAAUAUCAGCCUGUGAAAUCUUCAUCUACCAGUUCAAAUAAAUGGAAACCUUAACUUUUUUCCCAUUACUUUAAGAAUAUCCAGAAGAAUAUAGACUGCCUGCAAAAACAUCUUUUGCAAUGAGGUAUUGAUUUUGAGGAAGUUUUUGCAAUAGAAAGGUUUAUGAGAUCCAGAGCACUCCAGUCACUCCUGAUGGCAGAAAGGAAAAGAAGUCUGAAAUGAAAACCUGGUAUUAUUGAUCUAAAAUUGAUGGUUUUGAUAGAGUGCCAUUUUUGAAACCAAGAAGAUAUGGGAUUUAUUCCAGUGUGAAAUACAAACCAAUUUCAAAACCUUAAGAGCUCAUAAGACUGCCAGACUGCAUGGUGCUAAUGAGUAACGCAUCAGGAGGGAUUUGCAGAGCUACAAAGAUUAGACAGUUCUUACUCUUUUUUUUUUUUUUUUUUUUUUGGUCAUAGAAUUCAUUAUCUGAAUAGGGGAAUCUCUGAAUGGCUAGAAGAUGUCAUCUCCAUUACAGCAUUUGCAGAAAGUGGCUAAUGAUGUAUGCUUCUUCUCAGGACAGUGGCAUCCUGAAGGGCAUGGAAAAACAUUCCACCUACAAAAAGCAUCCUGAUAUUCAAGGCUGGCUCUGAGGCUAAAACCACUGCUCUCCAAGAGAAUGGACUGCAGGGGCAGCAGAGGCUCUCCCAUUUCUGAACCUUGCAAUACUGGGCUGUAUAAUGCUGCUAUCCCUAUAUGAGUGAAGGGGCAUGCAAGAAAGAUUAUUCUUGGAGGAUGGCUAAGACACUAGAUGAGAACACAUCUUUCCAGCAGCAGCUGCAAUUGCUGUACCCAUCAUCUUGCAGGUGUUUGGAAAAAAAAAGUCACUGAGCUGAAAUUCUCAGGGGUCUGCUGCUCCCUCAAGCUCUCCCAACUUUUCCUGUUCUGGGAGCAGGCAAGAACGUUCAAA
ensembl:lncRNA